GUUUAACUAGGGGCUCGGCGCAACUGCGCAACUGCAAAUCCUUAUAACGUAUGGAUCUUCUUACAGCUAUGAAUUCCAUCUGGAAAGUUAAAAACAUGAAAACGUCAAACAACAAAAUGUAGUGAACUUCAACUGAAGUCCGUGUGAGAGAAUCUGAAGCGCACCUCUGGCCUGGGGCUCCACAGACGCACCACUGGGUCGAUGCCACUGGUUGCCAGGAAACAGCAGCUGGGGUGGGGCUGCAGGCAGUUCACUAUGGACUCAUCCCCCUGCAGGAUACGCACCAGGUUGGUGGUCUCCUUCUCCCAGAUGAAGAAGGAGCCGUCGUCUGAGCCGCUCACAAUAUACUGCCCUUCACUGGAAGGGGUAGGGACACACACACACACACACGUUGUAAAUGGUGUGAAAAAAUAAGAGAAAAAACAACAGAAUAGCCCACAACUUCGUCAUGUAUCGGUCAGACUGCACAUAUAGAUCUGCACACAGACAAAUGCAUAAUAAUAAGUCAGCCUUCAGCAUGAGACGGGGUUGAAGCCGUCAGGCCAGGGAUCAGACUGACCUGCCGAAGAAGUUGGCCUCUUUGAUGUCAGUGGUGGUGUUGCAGUGGCCGCAGUAGCGGUGCUUAUAGUCAAAGCUCCGCUCUCU